CUCUGAUACCCACCCAGCCCUUAACGCUGAUGAUAACCCGUCCCUUAGCCUUGGUAGUAACCCAUCCCUUAACUCUGACAUCCACCCUUCCCUUAACCCUGAUAUUCGCCCUUCUCUUAACUCUGGUAUUAACCCAUCGCUUAACUCUGGUAUUAACCCUUCACCUGAGUCCGACGCUACCUCCUCACCCAGCCCUGAUGGUCAUCCAUCGUCCACCUCUGAUGGGCACCCACCACCCAGCUCUGAUGGUCACCCACCCCCCGAACUUGGCUCAGCACCGCUGCGGUGUUGCCCAGCACUGACAUUAGCCUUUCCUCCGGCUCCGGCUCCUCGCCCAGCUCCUGCCCCAGCGCCUGGCCGGGACCCCAGCGUCAACCUGCGUGGGACCCCGGCGUCACCCUGCUGCCUUUCGCCUGCAGCCCCGGGCGCACUCGGCCCCAGCGCCAGCCCUCCGGGUCCCUCACCCCGACACAGCACCAGGCCCAGCUCCCCAUAGCUGCACCGCAAAGCACGAGCUCCUCAUCCCAUUUUCCUCCCCAAGUUAUCAAAAUAGGGUAACGAGGCCCCAGCAGGCCAAACCCCCGGAGAGGGGGGAGAAAUCGGAGCUUGCAAACGUGGUGGCCGGGCUGCCGGGCGAUGGGCAGCACCUGGCAGGGCUGGGCCGCCCUCACCCAACGCUGCAUUUCUGCAGGCGCCUUUUGCCGCAGGCCGAGGCUGAGUCACCUCCCGCUUGCGCAACGGGCUCCACGGCGAGGGAGCAGCCUGCUCAGAGCAAUAAAAUAAGGAAAAAAGGCCCUCCUAGGCACGAACCGCCGCGCUCCCCAGCAACAACCUUUGGCAGCGGGAUGGCUGCGCCGCGUUUCCGGAGCGCUGUUUAUGGCGGGCGUUGCGUGCGAUGCUCCGCGGGGACCUUUGCCGCAUGACUGCCACGGGUUAAUGAGUCACAUUACAGCUCGGUUUAACGAAGGAGCAGGAGGGUGGAGGAGCUUUUACGCUGGAGACUGACGGUGCGAGGACAAGCGGGUAGAAACUUGGCCCCGAGUCACGGGGCUCUUUGCAGACACCAGAUGCAAAGCGAAAAGCAGCUUAAAAACACGGCAGGAGUCGAUGCCUUUUCCACCCGGAGCGACCACCUGCGAGUUACCUCUCACGGGAGGGAGCUGCAGGCACCAGCCCCGCAGGAGACGCAGGGGGUCGGGACACAGCCCCCAGCUUCGUAACCAAGCUGGGGAAACGCGGCCUCACCUGGCUGCCAGCGCUCCAGCCCUUGGCUUUUGCAGUAUUUAGUGCAUUUACUGAAAUCUCUAGAUUGCAUCUGCAAAAAAUGUUCAGCUUCUACUUAAGAAAUGAGUAAUAAAUCCCCGCAGAAAUAAGUAACAAGCCGCCCGCAGUCCUGGACCAGCACCAGCUGCAGCGCCCCGCUUCUCCCUCCCGCCGGACAGAUCCCACCCAAUACACGAUGCCUUCGCUUAAUCCCUGGGCACUUAAGUAGAGGCCACAGCAGAAGCGGAAGCGGAGCGGAGUGAUUAAUUUGGUGAUUAAUUAGCUAACUGGUGGCAAUCCCACCCCAGCGGCUUCGCCCGGCUGCUGCAGAGGAGCCGCAGCAUGGGGCAAUUUGAAGCUUUCGUGUUAUUAAAGAUGAAUAAACAAGAAGCAGUUUG